rnacentral:rRNA from 1 species
AUUGAACGCUGGCGGCAGGCCUAACACAUGCAAGUCGAGCGAGCGGCGGACGGGUGAGUCGUGUCUGGGAAACUGCCUGAUGGAGGGGGAUAACUACUGGAAACGGUAGUUAAUACCGCAUACCAUCAGAUGUGCCCAGAUGGGACUAGUUAGUAGGUGGGGUAACGGCUAACCAAGGCGACGAUCCCUAGCUGGUCUGAGAGGAUGACCAGCAACACUGGAACUGAGACACGGUCCAGACUCCUACGGGAGGAAGCAGUGGGGAAUAUUGCACAAUGGGCGAAAGCCUGAUGCAGCCAUGCCGCGUGUGUGAAGAAGGCCUUCGGGUUGUAAAGCACUUUCAGCGGGGAGGCGUUACCCGCAGAAGAAGCACCGGCUAACUCCGUGCCAGCAGCCGCGGUAAUAC